rfam:Jaapia argillacea MTCL 33604 unplaced genomic scaffold JAAARscaffold_1, whole genome shotgun sequence.
GGCCGCCUGGCGAAAUGGCAUCGCGUCUGACUACGAAUCAGGAGAUUGCAGGUUCGAGCCCUGCGGUGGUCA